rnacentral:lncRNA from 1 species
CCAUUUCAGAGAGGCGAGGUAACGUGGCAGGAGCCAGGGAGGCGGACUGUCGGUCAAACAUGCUCAGUCCGGCAUGCAGCAGCAGAAUGAGGGCUCCAGCCUCGUGGGCGGGUGGCACCGGCUGGACAGCUCACUUCCCACAAGUUCUCUGUGCAUGUGGCCAGGGCCUAGUUCUCUGUUUCUCUCUUCCUGUUCUGUGGGGGUGGUUGGGGAAAACCCACCUCAAGUGGUGUGUGUGUGUGUGUGUGUGUGUGUGUGUGUGUGUGUGUGU